AAGUCGUAACAAGGUUUCCGUAGGUGAACCUGCGGAAGGAUCAUUAUCACGUAUCCACGUUAUAAACCAAAUGUGAACUGUUUCAACAAACCUCUGACGAUCUAGCUGAAUAGACCUACUCAUUGUGUGAUUUUGAGUAACUAUUUGACACUCUCUUUCGUUCUUCUUCGGAAGAACAGGGAGGGGAACAUGGCUUUAUCAUUGGAGUGUAACCAAACCACACUUUUAAAACUAUUAACCACUUGAACCUAAAUAUUAAUUUUUCUUUGUUUGAACUGAUUUGUUUCUUACUCGGCCUCACCGCUGAGAAGAAAUUAUAUUACGAAACAAUAAAAGAACAACUCUUAGCAACGGAUAUCUUGGUUCUC
rnacentral:misc_RNA from 1 species